UUAGGCUGGAGGCGGCCUGCAGUGCCUCCUCUCCGACAGGCAAGGGCGAGGCUGCGACGGCAUAAUGAAGGGAAACCUGAUUCUUCCUGUAAAUGGUUGAUUAAACUAUCAGAAAUGGAAUUAAGCGGUAAAGUUGACUGACGUCACCUAGAGGCGGGCUGAGCAGUGUGAGCGGCGUCGGCGAUCCCGGAAACGGCCGAGGACUACGCUUCCCAGCGUCCCUGGCGACUGGAGUCCGGCGGCUCUGCUCCACGCGCCAUGGAUCGGGUGAAGGCUGUGGUGCUGCUGGGGUGGCUGCAAGCGCGGGCGCGUUGCUGCGUGAGGCCGGCCCUGCUGCGGGGAGCGGGCGGCGGCGCCCGGGCCUGCAGCUCCACGCCGGUCCCGGACGGACCCGAGGGCCCAGCGCGCCGGCGCUCCUACUGGCGCUACGUGCGGCGUCUGGUGCGGGGAGCGCCGGAGCCGCCGUACCCGCGCGUGUGCCAGGUCGGGGACCCAGCGCUGCGGGCCGUGGCGGCCCCAGUAGAGCCGGCGCAGCUGGCGGGGCCCGAGCUGCAGCGGCUGGUGCAGCGGCUGGUGCAGGUGAUGCGGCGCCGGCACUGCGUGGGCCUCAGCGCGCCGCAGCUCGGGGUGCCGCUGCAGGUGCUGGCUCUGGAGUUCCCCGACGCGCUCUUCCACGCCUGCGCGCCGCGCCUGCGCGAGAUCCGCCAGAUGGAGCCCUUCCCCCUGCACGUGUUCGUGAACCCCAGCCUGCGGGUGCUGGACAGCCGCCUGGUCACCUUCCCCGAGGGCUGCGAGAGCGUCGCCGGCUUCUUGGCCUGCGUGCCCCGCUUCCAGGCAGUGCAGAUCUCAGGUGCUGGGCGGUGGGGUCCCUGGGGCCUUUGGGUAAGCGCGUGCGUCUCUUCUGCCUUUGGAGGCGGUGGCCUCAGAUCCCACGGAAGGGUUUCCGCAAAGUUCCUGUUAAAGUGUAGACGUGUUGAUGGCUAAUCAGCAGGACCCAGGAGGGGAGGAGAUUCAGGACUGAGGGAAUGAGUUGAGGCAGGAGGCGCCUUUGAAAGCAGAGCCAGACGGGAGCAGGGGUUGGAAGGGAGGACUGUUCGGCUGUUUGCUCACACCCCAUCCUCUGCCCUGUGCCAUCUGGCUCACUCUGUUACACACACAUAACUGCCCAAUAAUAUCUGUCAUCCUGGUGGAGUGGGAGAAGUGGGACCCAUCUUUGCCCAGCCAUUACCUGUCUGUCAUAGCACGGGAUGUUUUGCAGAAUGUGGUUCUUUGCUGGGGUUGGGAUGAUUGUUUCUCUUGAGCAAGAAGAUCGUUUCUCAUCUCAGCCCCAUAGUGAGCCCAGCAACCUACCUGUCACAGUUGGGAACCAGGUUGAAUACUUGGUUAAGAGGCAGAGCUGAGACAUCUUUUCUAGGCUGGACCCUAGAGGAGAGCCAGUGGUGUGGCAGGCAAGUGGAUGGGCAGCCCGCAUCAUCCAGCAUGAGAUGGACCACUUACAGGGCCUCCUAUUCAUUGAUAAAAUGGACAGCAAGACGUUUACAAAUAUCCACUGGAUGGAGGUGAAUGACUAAAGCCUUCCUGCUGCGUCUGAGGAGCCUGAAAACCAAGACGCAAACAUUUCAGCUUUGAGCAUGUCUUACUUCACAUGGACUUGGUAUUGGCUCUGCUGACAGUGGACUGCCGAUGCAUGCCAGACUGAGUUGGCAGAUGUUAAAAAUACUUGCCCUGAAAUGAGUUACAGACAAUGUAUUGCUUUCAACUUAAAAAUAACUCCCCUAAAUGAAAGGACACAUUUCCUGGCAAUUUUAUAUGGAGAUAAGGGGCCAAGUAAAUAACCAAUCUCAGUAGACAUUUUAGAAGAGCUGUAUCAUCUAUUCCCAAAGCCAAGAUUUGACAAUAAUGUAAUCCCAAAACAUCUGGAGGCUAUGUUUAAAAAUGUGGCUUAAGGAGUUCCCGUCAUGGCUCAGUGGAAAUGAAUGUGACUAGUAUCCAUGAGGAUGCAGGUUCGAUCCCUGGCCUCACUCAAUGGGUUAAGGAUCCAGUGUUGCUGUAAGCUGUGGUGUAGGUGGCAGAUAUGGCUCAAAUCUGGCAUGGAUGUGGCUGUGGCUUAGGUCAGUGGCUAUGGCUCCCAUUUGACCCCUAGCCUGGGAACCUCCAUAUGCUGCGGGUGCAGCCCUAAAAAGACAAAAAAAAAAAAAGCGGAUUAAGGCUCUGAUUGAUCAUUUUCACCAAGUUUUUAUAUUUACAAAAGGCUCGUGUAUGUGUGUGUUACUACAGAGUGUUUGUCUUGGACACCUGUUUACCUAUAGAAGUAAAACACAAGACAGAAUGUCCCCAGUUCAUGGAAGUGUUCAAUGAUGCUGCUGAUGUAACAUUAUAUACAUUAUACAUUCAUACAUUUUUAACAGGUUCAGAUAGUUUAGGUCUCCACCUUUUGCUUUCCACCUGUAACAGAGCUGGGGGAGAUUUUUCUGCUGAGAUCUCUGAGGCAGCUGGUACUUGCCUCAUUCUUUGGGUGGAGGCCAUGGAGCAGGGCUGGGGAGGGGUGAUAACCUUUCACACACGAUCUGAAAGAAGAACAUUCUGAUGAAACCUUUCCUAGGCCAAAAUGGCAUAAGUGGAAGAAGCAAUUCUUUAGGACACGUCUGGCUAACAGAUGCACAAAAUAAACUGAGAUAAAGCACAGAUGCUCACACAGUUCAAAGCUAUGGGGACUUGAUGCUGAGAGCAGUUCUCAGGGAAAGAGCUUGUCGAUGCCACCCUGGCAGCUGUGGGUACGCACCACUUCUUUAACGACUCACCGCAAAACAAGCUGAAUGCUGUUUUAGCUUUCAGCUUUUUUUUGUAAAAGUGAAAAUCUUAUUUGAAUUUCUUUUCCAUUAGUGAAAACAGGUACUAAUACAAAUCUUUCAUAAAAGUGGUGUAAAGUGAAUUUUUGAAAAGUGGGGAAUGCCUGUAGUUGAGAAGAAGCAAUGAGCCUCUUCCUGUCACAAUAUGGACAGAAACAGAAAGCAGAACUUGUACCUCCUCAUCACCACACUUACUCUGAAAAAGUACAUUAGCAUCACGCUGACCAGUGUUUAGCUUUAAGAUUCUGUCAGAGCUUUGUCAAAAGGUGAAGGAGCUUCUUUCCAUACUUGUCUUACCUCGAUUUUGUUGAAUUUUGCAAUGCAAGUGCUCUUACCAAACAAAGUCUUCAAAAUCCAAAUACCUAAUAAAAUAAAAGGAAUUCCCUGGCGCCUCAGGGGAAAGAUCUGGGGUUACCACUGCAGUGGCCCAGUCCUUAGCUUGGAAACUUCUGCUUGCCAUAGGCGUAGCCAAAAAAAGUAAAUAAUAAAAUCAAAUAUCACAGUGUUAAAAAAUACCCAUGGAGUAAAAAGUCUAGCAACUUGUUUAGAGAAAACGUGUCUUAAACAGUAGUUAAUUAAACGACCCCAGGUGAGACUCCCCUCUCACCAUGGCUUUCUCUAAACAGCCAAAUCUCAGACCUGGGAGGCUAGGCAAAAGUCAAGUGGUUCUCUGUGCCUCAUACUUCAGAGAGUAGGGCCCAGUGCCGCCUGAGGGGACGGUAGACUUGGCCAGCAGGGAAUCUAGAUCGGGUUCUCAUUUAUACUGGAUCCUUAGGGAGGUUAGAAUUCAGUGAGCCCCCUUUCCCUUGGGCGAUGCCCAGAAGCUCCUGCAGGGUGGCACCAACGCCUUCCGAGGUGUUGGCACAGCACUGUGAGGGUGCUGGUCCUCAGUACUGCCCGUGUAAUGUGUAUCAGUAGUAUCUGCCUGAAGCUUCCUGACUUAAGGCCCCAGAGUAAGUGACUGCUCAGAGAGGCCCUCAGAAAGCUUGGGACUGUCUGUUGCUGCCAACAUGAGAUUUACUGUUGUAACCAAAUCCACAAACAAGGAAGGAUUUAAUCAACUAGCCGAAGACACUACAACCCAAAGACAAAUCCUUGCAUUCCCAACAAAGAAAAUCUCCCCCACCUUGGGCAGCUGUGAAACCACACACACAAACCAGCAUCUUGAGCUAAUAAAAGUUUUAGAAGGCAGCUUACACAGUGAAAGCCAAAGCAGGCAGAAGGUUUAGAACAGCAUUCCCCAAUAGGGAAGAAGUGGAUUUCACAUUAAGCAUUUAGGGAAGGAAAUUCUUCUGCACCUAUCAGUCAUGUUUAGUACAGAUGAUGAGGUCACCAUGUCACCCUCAGUAGUGAACAGGACAUUCUCCCUGUCACUGGUGGUGGAGAGAGAAACAGGGCAGCUCUGAAAGCUGUGACUAGAGCUGAGGAUGAAUCACAGCGGCCCUAUGGUUUCUGCUAACCGCUGUGACUUGCCUAGCUGUUCAAGCAGUGGAAAUGAGGAAGCAGGCUGAAAAAAAGGCAAGGACCUUGUAAUUCAAGUAAAGGUAACUGGAGGUAGAAUUAAAAACAAAACAAAACACAGCUAAGUUAAAGCAGUACAGGCAGGGGGCACUAAUAGUGAUUGGUGGCUGAAGGGACAUAACUAAUCAAGACCAUUAAUGUGGGAACUCAAGUGAAUGACAAAGAUCCCAGCCACGUUGUCAUCUGCAGGUCAGGCCUGCUGAUGCUCCAGAUAAAAAGACUGGGGCUGACCAGCAUUGGAGAGGAACACUGAGUCUGAGCCUUCAAAGAACCAAUCGAAAGUUCGCUCAAAUUCAGCAGCCUCCUCCCCAAAUCAAACACCACCGAGCAAAGCUAACAUGAUCAAGAAGUGGCCACCAUAAUCAGAUCUGGGCCUUUCUGACUGAAGAUAUAGAGGAAUACUACCAGGUUCUUGAGGGGGGAAGAGAGCUAAAGCAACUGGAUACUAGGCCUUUUCUGUGUAUUCAGAGGCUUGUGGAGAACGUGUGACAGCCCCUACCUACUGCUGCUGCUGCCCCUCAGGCUGCACUUCCCAGGAGUGCCAGCUCUGGGACCUUAAGGAGCUCACCAGGAUUGUCACAAAUUAAAUACCCAAGGGAGCUGGACAAGCAAUGCAAAUGCGUCCGUUUGAAUGGGGAUGGGUGAGCUGGAGAGCACAGUCCCUCUAUGAAGUGGACAGCUGCUGCUCAUCCGCAACUGAUCUAAAUUUUUACGUCACCUCCUGAUUUUUAAAUGCUGGCAGCAGAUCAAACCAAGUACAACCACAGGCCAUGUCUGGCCCACAGGCCUCCCCGUUUGCCCAGGUCCUUUAAACACCUGCCACCAUACUUCUGAGGCCUUGGGGGGAGAAAGGCCUCGUGAACUUGCAUGCAGAACAGGCCCGGGAACUGCAGCAGCUGGUGGUAUUUCUACUUACCUACUACUCCACAGAAGAGUAGAAACCAGAGGGUCUUUCUGGAAGCAAGAGCCCCAGAAAGGGUCAAAGAUGAGAUCACUCAGAUGGCUCAAGAAGGGGAACGGAUUUAUUAGCCCAUUUCCAGGACAGGGACCCAGGGGCAGUGGCUGGGUUCAGUGUUCUCACAUUCAGAGGGAAGGAGGCGGUGAAAGCCGCCCAACUGCCCUCAUUCUUUCUGAUCUACACAGCUUUGUGCUCACAAUACCUGUCCUCUCCUCCUGCAGGGAGGACAUGGGGCUCAGAGGGAGCGCAUGGCUUAGCGUUACUCUUGGCCUUUCCCGGCAGAGCCUGGGCUGUGGACCCAGGGCAUCAGCCAUUCUGUUCACAAGGAGAAAGACUGGGGUCUGGAAGGAUGGGCGGCGGGGCGCUGGCCAGCUGUUCUGAAGGUCUGCUGUACCAACCCCACAGCGGGGGCUGCUCCCUCUCCCUGUCGCUUCAGGGAGUUUUUAUUUAUCAACAAGACGAAAAUCCAAGCAGCAUUAAUUUAGGGGAACAAAGAAUGGUUUAAAAAAAAA